UUUUCGUAGGUGAACCUGCGGAAGGAUCAUUAGUGAAUUUUAUGGAUGACUCUGCAAAGAGAAUACUCCAUUAUCACUUUACACACACUGUGCACUUGUUUUUACAUUUAACAAUUCAUUUUGUUAAACACUUGUGUCAACAUGUAAAAGUCCAAUAUGUGAAAUUGAUAAACGAAAGUAAAACUUUCAGCAAUGGAUCUCUUGGCUCUCGCAUCGAUGAAGAACGCAGC
rnacentral:misc_RNA from 1 species